rnacentral:lncRNA from 1 species
CCGGUGUGUACGUCAGAAUCUGGAAACUGUGGGGCAGAACGUUCUGGCUUUCCAGCUACAGUCAGACCUGCCUGGAACAGGUGUCGACAGCUCUGCUUGCGCUGGAUUUUACAGAAGGCUUCUGAGUUCUGGAAAGCACUCUAUCUAUCGUCCAUAUGAUGAAAUGGAGGCUCAGCGAAGUUAAGUGAAUUGCUUAGGGGCACACAGCUGUGACUCUGUGGAGGCAGACUUUCUAAGACUCACCGCAUCUAGCCACCUCCUCUGGGGAAGGCAGCCGACCCUGAUUUCGGGGUCUAUGAUAUUAAUAGCAGCAACCCCCACAAACACUGGCUGGCUGGGUUUUAAUUACUUCUCCUCUUUUAACCUUCACAACAACCCUGCAAAAUAGCGGAGGAGAUGGAGGCUGGGAGAUGCCCUGACGUGCCCGAGGUCCC